rnacentral:lncRNA from 10 species
UGUAACAUCAGACAAGGGUGUUGACUCUGCAGCACAGAACCAGUAGUUUGUGGAGAAGAAUGGAGGUGUGGUGUUGAAUCUGCUAGACAGGCUACUGAAGCAAAAGUCAAGAGAUCCAGAUUCCAUCAUGGGGACACUUUAGUUCUUCAUCGGGUAAUUGAGCUGAUAUCAGGUGUCUGAAGGAGGCAAGUUUUGAAGAUGUGGGUCAUGAUGGCUGCUGAAGCUUCCACUCCAUAUUUGAAGGUCAGCAGUUCUCAGGAAACCUCUAGCACUUCCAUCCCUGGUGGGAUGUGAUGCCUGUCUCAGGGAGGCAGCAGGUGGCUGAAAUCCUGGUGUGAUGUGGCUGGAUCAUGCAUGAUCUGAGGACUCCUGCACAGGUGACUGCAGGAUGAGUACAGAAUUUUUCUAUAAAUAUACUAAAAUACCAAGUAAGCCAGGAGCAGCCACUAGGCAAACACCAAACCUUGCAUUCCUGGCCAAACCUAUCACAGAGCUCAUCAGAUGCAGUGGAUCCCCAGGUUGCAAGUCAUAUAACCUGAGCAUGCCCAGAUGAACCAAGUAUGCCUGAUUGGUGAACCUGGAACUGGCCAGAACAGAAAAUGUCAACCACAUGUGGAAUCUAAGUAUUCAGAUUGAGAAAUGAGGACCAAAAUGAGAACACUGAGCUCCUCACACAGGUGACUGAACCCGUGGUUUUGGUGUCUGAGAAGAUGCAGCUUCUCCAGUCUCUGCAACUGACGGCAGGAAGAUGGGAGCACUCAGCUUCAGUGUUCAGAAGCAGAUUUAGGCCAAUUGCCAUACCUUACGUUCUGGAGGGAUCCACCCUGACCUGAGCAGAAGGCAUCACACACAUUCCCAAGCAGCAUGGUUCCCGUGAGAAACUGAAAACUAAUUUCUUGAAUCUACAAUGCGA